GCCCCCAUCGACUAGCGGUUCAGGUCACCGCCCUUUCAAGGCGGCGGCACCGGUUCGAAUCCGGUUGGGGGCA
rnacentral:tRNA from 1 species